GAAACAGUAGACACUAAUAGUAAAUUGAAACACAUGAUAGUAGACUCUAACAGUAAAUGAAACACAUAACUGUAGACUUUAAUAGUGAAUGAAACUAUUAACUGUAGACUAUCAC